GACGAAGAAGUUUGUAAAAACUCACUAUGUAAGGUACUUAUCCUGUAGUCAAAAUAACAAUCCUUUAGGGCGGCUACAGGAGACCACGGGACACGUGAAACCCUGUGGGGAGCAGGAGGGAGCACCAACCAAGGCGGAAUACUGCCUGGGGAACAAGAGCAUAUAAUAACGUAAGGGAAAGGGGAAAAGAACCCCGGGAGGGGAGUGAAAUAGUACCUGAAACCCUGCACUUACAAGCUGUGGAAGCACUUUUCUUGUGUGACCGCGUACUUUUUGUAGAAUGGGCCAACGAGUUAAGUUCAGUAGCAUGUUUAAGUACUUUAGGCUUGGAGCAGUAGCGCAAGCGAGUUAUCACUGCGCGCUCAGUUACUUUCAGUUGACCCGAAACCGGGCGACCUCCCCCUGAGCUGGAAGAGUCGUAGAUAAACGUUCUUGGAGGUCCGAACCCACGAGCGGUGAAAAGGACGGG
rnacentral:rRNA from 1 species